UCCCUACAAUACCCCUUGUUCCUCUUUUUUUUUCAAACCAAACCCUAACCCUCUUCUAACACACUCACUCACCUCUCACUACCGCACACACUCUCACUCCCCUCACACCCUCUUCCUCACAGCACACACACAGACUUGAAGGAAAAAGAAAGAAAGAAAGAAAAGGGAAAGAGAGAAGAGGGGAGACCGUGAGAAGAGAAGGGAGGAGGAAGGAGAGAGCUGUCCAUGCCGAGCCACCACGCGAGGAGAGAGAGAGCCGUGCCUCGUCAUCGCUGGCCUGGAGCUUGCCCUUCGUGUCCCGUCGCGUCGUCGCCAGCCACGUCCAGCUCGCCGCCGUCGCAUCGCCAUCAGAGGCCAGAACUGAGUGAGAUGCCUCUGAGAGAGGGGACGAGCGCGAGAGAGGAGACGAGGAAGAAGGACUGCCACCGUUCUGCCUCGCUACCGUCAAACUGCUACAGCUGCCGCGCCUUGUCUCCAUCGCCGCUGAGCCUCAACAGCCGCCAUGCCAAGUCGCCGUCACUGAGGAGAGCACGAGGAGAGAGAAGGGAGAGACUUCGCGAAAGGGAAGGAGAAUACGACAGAACUCGUCGCCGGGAAGAGGGGUAACGGUGGUGUGUUGUCGCUGCUGCCGCCGUUGCUGGUCCUAUGCUUCCGGUUUAAGCAUCUUAUCGGAGCCAAUGUUGCCAUCACCGUUGUGGUUUUUGGAAAAACGCCGCCGAAUAGUGCCUUUGUUUUGGUUUAGCGGCUAUAGCUGUGACUAUUACAAAGUUGUUGCUGCGGGAUUAGUUGGAGUUGUUGCUACUGCCUCGGUCUAGAUUCUACGUCCUUUCGAUCCAUUCUAUUCCAACCAUUUUCACCCUUUUAAUUUGCCACUCCGGUUUUAGUUUCUUCGGUCCCCUGGGACCAAGUUGAACAAAUACUUGAAUGGGUGAGCCUUCUAUUCAAGAGUAAUGAUCUGCAAUUGGUACUUCAUUUUUAUUGAGUUCUUAGACGUCAUAUGCUCCAUAUAUCACAGGCAGGAUCCAUCCAUAUCUAAUUAUUUUACCUUUUAUUAAAAAUAUGAAAUUAUUCAUUUUAGAAAGUGUAAAUUUCUUUAAAAUAUUUGUAACUUUCUUAUUUAAUUUAUAUUUGAGUUUGAUAGGCUUGCUAGGGAACUGUUUCCCUGAGCGCCAGUCAUGGUUCAUUUUGGGCUGUGACAAAGUGGUAUCAGAGCCAGGUUUAAUCUGUGUAUUAUGGAGCAAGUGUCCUAUGAUAGGAUCACAAUUGUAUAAAUAGAAGCGCGCCUAUUUGUACAAAUUGUGGCACUAUCAAAGGCCUAUUGGAAUGUCCUCUUUGUCCUCUAUGUCAUUGUUGUCUUCUGAUUAUUGAGACCAUGCGUCCUCUGUCGCUUCUUACUACUCUUGUCCUUUUGUACCCAAUCUUGGCAUAUCCUUUGGUAGGUUUUCUCAAAUGUGUUUUUGCAAGGGUUUCAGUUUUGGUUCUGAUUCGCGAUUUCUCUCCUAGCUAGUUCUAAUUUUCUCCGAUUUUGUGAAUGUGUGCUUUAAUCUUCUUCGUCUUUGGGUUGUUCUUUAUGAUUCCUAAUGUCAAUAGUUCAGGAGUUAUUUAAAAGAUUCGAUUUAUGUUUGUUGUGAAUUACCAUCUGAUUUCUUUAUAGAAUUGUAUUUGGAUUUGUGGAUUGCAUGAAUUUGCUGAGUUUCUGAUCGAGAUGCUUUGUUCUGGAUUUGAUAAGCGAUAUUGAGAUUUUGCUUCUUAUGUUGAUGAUUUUUGAAGCUAACAUAAUUUUGAUUAGCUUUUGAUUCUUUUUUCAAAUCAAUAAUUUUGAAAACAGCUAUUUAGUUGCUUAAGAAGGACUAUGUGAUGCAACAUAUGAAUAGAGUGUUAUUGUUGUUUGUUCGAUUGUUGAUUUUCUUUGCUUAAGUGUAGUGAAUUAUUUGGGUGAUAAGUUAACUGGAUCGAAAAAAAAAUUUUUCGAUCUAAAAGUUUAGUUUUGUUUUUCUAAUUGAUGAUCUGUUUCCAUUAUGGUUCUUUGUUGCUGAAUAUGACUUUUUGUCACGGAACUUUUCCUGCUUGAUAAGUUGAGAGAAAGAUUGUGAACGCUUGCCUUUUUGUUGGUGAUUAUAAGAUAAAUUUUGCUUUUGAGUAUGAUCUGAAGCCUGAGAAUUUUCUUAACCCUUGCUUUUCUGAAAAUUUCCUUAUUUUCAACUAUUGUUCUUAUUCUCAGAGGUUUAAGGAGAUUGAUUUUCUUGAUUUGUAGUGCUUUUGUGAUAUUUGGAAGUAGAUUUUAGAGAUUGAAAAGAAUUGUUGACAAUUUUUGAUAAAAAGACUAGAUAUCUAAUUUCUUAAGGCAAAAUAAAUUACUUAUACGAAUUUUUUUUUUCUUUAUUAUAUUCAACUAAUUAUUAUAAACCAUGCUUUCUUAUUAUGUACCCCUUAAUAACUCUAGUUUUAAAAUUAUCUGAUUUCUCAACGAAACCUGAUAUUUCAUGAAUUACAUUUGGUUGGGUUUGUGGAAUAAAAUAAUGUAAGUUAAAUUAUGUACUUAUUUGAGCUAUACAAUGAUACUUUAAAUUAAAUUUUCACUAGGAUUCAAAAUAUAUUAUUUAUUUUAAUGUGAUAAUAUAGGAUUUUUGUGAACUUUGUUGCUUUUAAAUUUAUAAGUGGGAAUCAAUAUUCAAAACAACUUGAGAUUUUAUUAGGACAAUCGUAAUAUAUAUAGAGACUAUUUUAGUAAAUGUUUCAACAAGUUAGGAUUUUUUUUAUUGAAUAAUUAGUAAUUUGAAAGUCUUUUCUCUUGUAACGAAGUUAUUGCUAAUUUUAUUAUUAGUAUUAUGGAGUAUUUACUUGAAUAUUCUCUUGCUUUACAUCUUAAUCAUUAGCUUCUUUGUCAUGAUUAUGGAAGCUCUGUUCUCUUGCUUUGCACUCAUUUAAGUAUUUAAUUAUUAUAAUUCUUGACUCUUUGUGAAGUUGUUAAAGUAUUUCAGCAUUUGGCGUUUUGACUUCUAUCAGAAUGUAUUUUAUACAUUAAACCUCACCGUUACUUUAAGUUUUUCCUUUCCUUUUUCUUGUGAGAAAUUUCUUUUACAAGGAUUUCACAUCUUCCUUUAACCAUUGAUGAUUAUA